rnacentral:rRNA from 1 species
AUACGGAGGGCGCAAGCGUUGUUCGGAAUCAUUGGGCGUAAAGCGCGUGUAGGCGGCUUGGUAAGUCGGGUGUGAAAGCCCGGGGCUCAACCCCGGAAAUGCAUUCGAAACUGCCUGGCUAGAGUUCCGGAGAGGAAGGCAGAAUUCCCGGUGUAGAGGUGAAAUUCGUAGAUAUCGGGAGGAAUACCAGUGGCGAAGGCGGCCUUCUGGACGGCAACUGACGCCGAGACGCGAAAGCGUGGGGAGCAAACAGGAUUAGAAACCCCGGUAGUCG